AUGCCAUUGGGUUACCAUCCUUACAAACACGUCCCGUCCAAAAAAAAUAUUCCGAGUCCUCCCGCGACCACGCCCUCGGGCAGUUUGGCCACCGCCCACCUCUUCCCCCACAUCCUCCCCGGCAGACCCCCACGUCCUCCCGCCCCGUUCCUCCCGCACCUGUUCGCCGCCCUUCGCCCCACCACCCCCUCCUACUGGAGACGCCCCCCGCUGGAUCCGCCCUUCGCCGCACCCCCCACGGCCCGGGAAUGGCAGCUGAGUCGUCGGCGGUGGCCGACAUGCGGAAGGCGCCCUCCAUUGAGUGGCGGUGGGUGUCCGCGAGGAGGAGGAGGAGGACAAGCUGGAGGGCCCGCGGCCGUCGGGGCGGCGGGAAGGGGCUGCAGCUUCGAGUUCGAGGACGAGGAGGACAACGUCGACUACGAGGACGAGGACGAGGAGCACCAGAAGGCCAGGAAACUCCUGUCACACACGGCCACCGCCAAACUGCCUCGCGGCCACCCCCGUCCGCUGGUGGCGAUCUUUGUGCCUCCAACCGAUAGCGAUGACCAUGCCUUUUUCAUGGUUAUUACGGUUAACAGUGAUGAUCUAAUCUUAGAAGAUUUAAGUUCAUGA
rnacentral:rRNA from 1 species